rnacentral:rRNA from 1 species
GACGAACGCUGGCGGCGUGCUUAACACAUGCAAGUCGAACGGUGAAGCGCCUUCCUUUUUGGUGGGUGUGGAUGAGUGGCGAACGGGUGAGUAACACGUGAGUAACCUGCCCCCUUCUUCUGGAUAACCGCAUGAAAGUGUGGCUAAUACGGGAUAUUCUGGGUCUGUCGCAUGAUGGGUCUGGGAAAGAUAUUGUUUCGGUGGGGGAUGGGCUCGCGGCCUAUCAGCUUGUUGGUGGGGUGAUGGCCUACCAAGGCGGUGACGGGUAGCCGGCCUGAGAGGGUGGACGGCCACACAGGGACGGAGACACGGAGCAGACUCCGAGGGGAGGCAGCAGUGGGGAAUAUUGCACAAUGGGCGCAAGCCUGAUGCAGCGACGCCGCGUGAGGGAUGGAGGCCAUCGGGUUGUGAACCUCUUGCGGGAGUGAAGCAGGCCUGCCUCGUUUGUGGGUGGGUUGACGGUAGCUGGAUAAGAAGCGCCGGCUAACUACGUG